rnacentral:rRNA from 1 species
CCUACGGGAGGCAGCAGUGAGGAAUAUUGGUCAAUGGACGAGAGUCUGAACCAGCCAAGUAGCGUGAAGGAUGACUGCCCUAUGGGUUGUAAACUUCUUUUAUAUGGGAAUAAAAUGAUCCACGUGUGGGAUUUUGUAUGUACCAUAUGAAUAAGGAUCGGCUAACUCCGUGCCAGCAGCCGCGGUAAUACGGAGGAUCCGAGCGUUAUCCGGAUUUAUUGGGUUUAAAGGGAGCGUAGGUGGAUUGUUAAGUCAGUUGUGAAAGUUUGCGGCUCAACCGUAAAAUUGCAGUUGAAACUGGCAGUCGUGAGUACAGUAGAGGUGGGCGGAAUUCGUGGUGUAGCGGUGAAAUGCUUAGAUAUCACGAAGAACUCCGAUUGCGAAGGCAGCUCACUGGACUGCAACUGACACUGAGGCUCGAAAGUGUGGGUAUCAAACAGGAUUAGAUACCCCAGUAGUC